AGAGUUUGAUCCUGGCUCAGAUUGAACGCUGGCGGCAGGCCUAACACAUGCAAGUCGAACGGUAACAGGAAGCAGCUUGCUGCUUUGCUGACGAGUGGCGGACGGGUGAGUAAUGUCUGGGAAACUGCCUGAUGGAGGGGGAUAACUACUGGAAACGGUGGCUAAUACCGCAUAACGUCGCAAGACCAAAGAGGGGGACCUUCGGGCCUCUUGCCAUCAGAUGUGCCCAGAUGGGAUUAGCUUGUUGGUGAGGUAACGGCUCACCAAGGCGACGAUCCCUAGCUGGUCUGAGAGGAUGACCAGCCACACUGGAACUGAGACACGGUCCAGACUCCUACGGGAGGCAGCAGUGGGGAAUAUUGCACAAUGGGCGCAAGCCUGAUGCAGCCAUGCCGCGUGUAUGAAGAAGGCCUUCGGGUUGUAAAGUACUUUCAGCGGGGAGGAAGGUGUUGUGGUUAAUAACCGCAGCAAUUGACGUUACCCGCAGAAGAAGCACCGGCUAACUCCGUGCCAGCAGCCGCGGUAAUACGGAGGGUGCAAGCGUUAAUCGGAAUUACUGGGCGUAAAGCGCACGCAGGCGGUCUGUCAAGUCGGAUGUGAAAUCCCCGGGCUCAACCUGGGAACUGCAUUCGAAACUGGCAGGCUUGAGUCUUGUAGAGGGGGGUAGAAUUCCAGGUGUAGCGGUGAAAUGCGUAGAGAUCUGGAGGAAUACCGGUGGCGAAGGCGGCCCCCUGGACAAAGACUGACGCUCAGGUGCGAAAGCGUGGGGAGCAAACAGGAUUAGAUACCCUGGUAGUCCACGCCGUAAACGAUGUCUACUUGGAGGUUGUGCCCUUGAGGCGUGGCUUCCGGAGCUAACGCGUUAAGUAGACCGCCUGGGGAGUACGGCCGCAAGGUUAAAACUCAAAUGAAUUGACGGGGGCCCGCACAAGCGGUGGAGCAUGUGGUUUAAUUCGAUGCAACGCGAAGAACCUUACCUGGUCUUGACAUCCACAGAAGAAUCCAGAGAUGGAUUUGUGCCUUCGGGAACUGUGAGACAGGUGCUGCAUGGCUGUCGUCAGCUCGUGUUGUGAAAUGUUGGGUUAAGUCCCGCAACGAGCGCAACCCUUAUCCUUUGUUGCCAGCGGUCCGGCCGGGAACUCAAAGGAGACUGCCAGUGAUAAACUGGAGGAAGGUGGGGAUGACGUCAAGUCAUCAUGGCCCUUACGACCAGGGCUACACACGUGCUACAAUGGCGCAUACAAAGAGAAGCGACCUCGCGAGAGCAAGCGGACCUCAUAAAGUGCGUCGUAGUCCGGAUUGGAGUCUGCAACUCGACUCCAUGAAGUCGGAAUCGCUAGUAAUCGUGGAUCAGAAUGCCACGGUGAAUACGUUCCCGGGCCUUGUACACACCGCCCGUCACACCAUGGGAGUGGGUUGCAAAAGAAGUAGGUAGCUUAACCUUCGGGAGGGCGCUUACCACUUUGUGAUUCAUGACUGGGGUGAAGUCGUAACAAGGUAGCC
rnacentral:rRNA from 1 species